GACAGUGGGCGUCAUGAGCCAUUUGGCAGAGACACUACAGACAGAUAGAUGAGAGGAAACAGACGACACGCAGACACCAUACAAAUGUGUGUUUGGACAGAAGCAGCUGACCCGCUCCUGACACAGUCUGAUAGGAACUGGAAACAUUUACAGUUUUACCAUGGCUCAGUUUUCACAGCUCGCAGCAGAAUACAGACUCAAGUUUGAAUACUUAUUAGGAAGCAGACGGUCACUGAAUCAUUGAAGAUCCCUCUACAAACUUGAGUUUUUACUUCAGUAAGUCAGUAGUCCAACAGUAUUUUUAAUACCAAAUGCAAAUGCUUCUCUGCACUUAAACAUUACAUUGAAUUCUGCACAAAUUAUGGAUGGAUGGGAAAACUUACUUGACUUUAUUGUGAAAGGACUGAGGCUGUCAGUGUUCAAUUUUGGCUUAAAUCUCCAUCAUUUCAAACACCAAUGUUUUCAUAAGCUUACUAAAAUGUCAGUCUACUUUUUAAAGGCCUAUUAUUCUUUUAAAAGAAACCAAUGAAUACAAUUCAAAGGCUGCCAGUAAUGAUUAUUUUCAUUCUUAAUUAAUGUGCUUUAUUUUUCUCAAAUUCAGAAUUUCAAAGAGUGAAAGUGGAGAGAGAUCCGUCGACGUUGCCGCCAUAUUGGAUGUGGCGGCUCUGCCCCGAGAACUAAUACAAGUCACUGGAGUGAACUUUAUAAAGCUCCUUCUGCAAAAACAUAUAUAGUGCAUAUUUAUAAUAUGUACAUAAUAUGAACUCUACUGCAAGUUGACCACUUCACAUACACAACAACCCUUCACCCUGUUUCUUCUCGCCUCUGUCACCAGGUGAUGCUCAGGAGGGAAAUGGCGCUCUCUGCAGAUCAACUCUUCAGUCUGGUUUAGCCCUACGCGCUUCGUUUUUUCAUAACCCCCUGCUUCCAUCUCUCAGAAAGCCCGGGGAGGAGACACAGCUCCCCUUCGGCCCGCCACACCAGCUCGGCAGGGAAUCGAAAAAAGCUUACUGAAAGUGCAAUAACUUGUGGCCUCUUUGAAUGUACUGCAGAAGAUGUGACCACACUGUGUUUUGUCCAGGUGGUGGAUGCCAGGCUGGUGUCUGGCUUUCAUGCCAGGGAGCUGGAGCUGGUCAUAGCUGGAACAGCUGACAUUGACUUAUCACACUGGACGAACAACACAGAGUACACAGGAGAUUGCGUAGGGCUAAACCAGACUGAAGAGUUGAUCUGCAGAGAGCGCCAUUUCCCUCCUGAGCAUCACCUGGUGACAGAGGCGAGAAGAAACAGGGUGAAGAGUGAGGUACCUGUGGCUGAGGCGGAGCGGGAGCGAGGCUGAGAUCUGUCUGGACUGCAGGCACUGGCUGGACUCUGAUGGCCGGCCUCUGGUACUCGGGGCUGGAGGUGACGGUGCUGUAGGCGGGGGGA